rnacentral:lncRNA from 1 species
UUUUUUCGAAGAUCCAGCAGGAGUGGGGAGACACCCACAAGCCCCAAUCCCUUUGGGAUUUUUCAUCUCCCUCUCAUCAACACCAAGAGAAGCCAAGACAGCCCCCCCCACCUUCUGAUUUUUCUUCUUCUUCAGCCACCUGCACAGUAACUCUCCUCCCGAACACAGCAGCCCCCCAUCUACCCAGCAGCUCCCUUUUUUUUUUUUUCUUUUCUUUCUUCUCCUGAAGCCAAAACGAAGUCGUCCCUCCUUUUCUUCUCAUUUUUUUUCUUCCCGACCGCUGCAACCAGACAACCCUCCCGAUCUCCUUUCCCCUUCACUUUUCCUUCCUCUCGCCAACCUAAACCCGACCACAACUCCUUCUCUUUCUCCGAUCUGCCUCACACAGCCACGAUCCAGCACCCCUCAACUCUCACUCACGGCGUUUCCUCCUUCACCGAACAGACCCGACGGCCUCAGUUCCACCCGAGCAUCGACGACCGACCCAUAGUCAUCACAGACCGAAUCAGCUCUCCACCCGCCUCUGCCUUCUUCCUCCGGACAAGCCCUCCUCUCUCAGCCGACCCACCGGUCUCCACCAACAGCAGCAACCCACAAGCCAGCAGACCCAGCUCACCGCCUCCAGCAGAGACGCUGGUGGCUCCAGCUCUGACCGACCCCUCGCCACCACCGGAAGCAGAGAAGAAGGCGAAACCGAGAAGAGGCAGAGGCGCAACGGAGAAGAAGAGACUGAGGAGCAGAUCCGAAACAAAAAAAAUUAAAAUAAAACCAACUGGAUUGCGUCCUUUUCUUCUUUGCAGGUGAUGUUGCUCCUCACUGCCAGUGUAGGAGGGAAGAGGAGAUGAAGCCGAGUUAGAUCCAUCGUUUGUGCAUUUUUUCUGCGGUGGUGCGUGGAUCCACGCGCCCCCAAUGGCGGGGGCGCGUGGAUCCACGCGCCGCCACUGUUGAGGCAGCCCGGAAGGCAGCCCAGAAUUGUUCCUGAAUUCGUUUUGGGUCAUUUUGUAAUUUCCAAAUUGUUUAUUGUAAUAUUUAUUUAGUUUUGAGUUUUUUUUUUUUUUUGUAUGUUGUAAAUAUGGAAGGAAAAGAAAGAAAAGAAAAGAAAAGAGAAAGUGAUAAAUAACAAAAAAGGAAAUGUUUGUGUGUGUGUAUGUUUGUUUUUUUUAUUUAUUUAUGUUAUUGAAUUAAAAAUCAAAAAGGACAAAAAUAAUUAUUUGCUAAUUUAAAUAUGAUUAAAUAUCUCAAGGACAAAUAAAAUCAAGUUGUAUUUUCCAUGAAAAUGUAAGAACAAGUUUUUACAUAUAUUCGGGGAUUUAAUGACUGAUUUAUUCAAGCCUCAGAAUUUAAUUAAUAUUUUAAAUUUUCAAACCACAUCAGAACACAAAGCAGCUUACCUCAGGUAGGGUGUGUUAGGGGUGCUAAUACCUUCCCUAGCCACAACCAGUCCCUUACCCGCGAUCUCUGACAAGACCAGUACAUCAGGUUUCCUAGUAGCCCUCAAUGAAUUACUAGGUGGCGACUCCCACGAAUCAAAUUCAGCAAAACAUCACAAACGAGAAAAAUCGCCAGCCGAUGCCGCGCGCCAGGAUUUUUUGGGGUGCGACAGGAUGGCGACUCCACUAGGGAAGGUAUUGUUUUCAACUUUAUCGGACUAAGCUUUGUGUUUUGAUGUGUUCAAUUUUGUUUUUUGUGCUUUGUUUUAUUUAUUUGUGUUUUAUUCAUGCAUUGUAUAUAUUUUUCUCAUGCAUCACAAGUUUUAAUUUUUGAAAGCACACACCAGCUUUAGGUUAGGUGGGGGACUAGCAGCUUACCUUACGACUUGAGUCAAGGUUUAAGUUUGUGUAAACCCCAACUCUUUGUUGAGUGCUUAGACUGGUAAUAGUUGGACACGUGCCAACCAAUUACCUACUGGGCUCCUAUAUUGCCUUUACGAAGGCGAUCACUGGGACAACAAGAGACCCUUUUAGAGACCAAGUAGCAAACCUACCAUGUCUCACGUAAAAUGAAUAGAGCUUGUCUUUAGGAUGUAUGUGCUAUUGUUUUGCAUCCGAGCAAACCCUUCUUGAAGCAUCUUGAACUCAAGACUUGUGGGUGACACAUUGAACGUUGCUCCGAAAAUUUUCAUUGUAGAGUUUGGGCAAAAAUCACGAUUCUUGUUCCAUCAUACAAGAGUUACGACCAUAUUGUCACCCCUCGAAGGGUGAGUUCGUCAUAUAGAUUACAUAUUCAUACAUUUAUCAUGCAUGUACCGGGUUGAAAAGUAGGUUCCCCCGCACAAGCUGUGCUGCACGUGAUUGAAGAAAAAUGAUGAGGUGAAGAAAGGUGUCAGAUAGAGGCUCAUUAUCAGUUUGAGUUUGAGAGCAUCAAAGGUGAAAUAGCUGGACUCAGAUCUGCUCGAACAAGUGUUGAGCAUCAAAUGGAAAGAGAAUUUCUGCACAGUCUUCUGUGGGAACACUACUUGUCCAUGUCCAAUUGAAGCUACCUCUCCUUUUCAGUCAUGAACAACAUCAACAAUGCCUUCAGUCAUCAACUAAUGACAACUCUAAUUCUUGUCCAGUUGCACUGUUAAGUGUUAUCGCCUCCACAUCAUCCAAUGGAAACAAAUGACUAUUAGCCUCCUGUACAUGUGCAUUAGUCUGCUUUAAAGUUACCCCAAUUAUGAGCUCAAUUCCAGUUCAGCAGCACAAGAUGUGGGUCUGAAAAACCAUGAUCAGACACUGAACUUCAAUGUGGCAGAGCUCUCUCUCUACAGAAAUCCAUUUAUGGCUCCGCAAAUUGGGAAUGCAAGAGGGGAUUUAUAAGUUGCAUAUGCUACAAAUAUUUCUCUCAUCAGCUUCAGCACGAAGACCUUUAGUAGGUUGAAGAGCCAGACCUGGUCUGAAAAAUAUGAGCAGACAUCAAACUUCAACGUAGCAGAGCUCUCUCAUCAGGAAUCUGUUUGUGGAUCCGCAAGGGAAAUCCAAGAAGGAAUACAGUAGUUUCAGAUCAUCUAUGAUUUUCCUCCAACAUGUCGGCAUUAAAACUCAAAAGUAGAGAGAAGAGACAUGCCUAGACUGAAAAACAUGAAGAAUACUGAAACUUCAACAGAGCAGGACUUCCUCUAUAGGUGUUUGUUUGCUGCACUGUCAGUGAGAAAUCGAAGAGGGGACAAAGGAGUUUAGAUUCAUCAGGUGCUCUUCCAAUAGAGACAAUGUGUGAUUCCACACGUCGGUAGUGCGAUACUACAAGUUUCUGGGCGCUGCCAAGAUUACCAAGCUGUUGGAAAGUUUUCUAACAAUCCUCAACCAACCACAACAACAUUGGAAGAUUGAAUGAUGUUGUGAGGAUCCGAAGAAUUGAACAAGCUAUGAAGAAGAAAGAUUGAAGGAUUGCCAUGGAUUCCAGAACGUGAGAGAGUGAAUCAGGAGAUGACUCUCGAUUGAGAACCUCAUUAUUUUGCCUAGUCAAGUCUCGUAGCAUCAAUUGCUCAAAUGUCUUUGCCAAGAUGACAUUCCUCUGCCACUUAAGUUUGUCGCCAGCAUCUGCCAGAUUCCAGAAUUUUGCUUGACUCCGACAAAUCCCAUGCAACCACCAAUUUCUAGGUGGUAUAAUCCAGAUAAGAGAUGUGAUGUCAUGGUGGGGUCCUCAACCAUUUCAAGUGAACAUUUCAAGAAUUGCAAGAAUUGCAAGAAUUGAGUCUGAAAGUUGGUGAGCAAGAGAGUCGGAGGGUGUCAUUGGCUAUAUUGUCCCCCGAACAUCUUCAGAAUGACAUGUUGAUCGAAAGUGCUUGGCAAAACGCAAAUAUUGCCAGAAAAGCUGAUUCAAGAAUGGUGAUGAACAGUCAAUCAUGUUUUGGAAUUCUGCAUUUUGUUUUGGGAUCACAUCUCAUCCUUCAACGAAACAUGCCUUGCUUUUGUUUUUUUUGUUCUUUUGAAAUCAACAGAUGUUUAACAUUUUCUCUGAUAAAAUAUUUUGAUCAAACUCCAACAUGCGAUAAAGGUUAAUCAAUCCUGAAGAUUAAAAGUGUUUUGAUUGUAGAAAUGACUCGAUUCUUGUUGAGAUGACAUGAGGUGACCGAACAAAUUUUGAACUCACACCUCCUGAAACUGAACCACACAUCAUAUAGCUAAGUUUUAACAGUAUGCAUAAUGACAUGUAGUGGUUUCGGUAGCUAUGGACUCGUGAAUCAUGACUCUUACAAGUCCAAAUCAUUACACUAGAUGAGGUCAAAAUUUAUCGGUUCUAACCGACCUUGCAGGAAAUGAGAAAAGGCCAUCUUUGAUAUCCUGUCACUUUCUAAAAAUUAUCUCCCUUGUAGUCCCAUUUUGAGCUGGAUAUAUAUAUUUUUUUUUAUAGAAACCCUGACUAGGAUCACACCCCACACUGGGGGCAAAUGAGAAAUAUCUUGGAGACACGGAUAAGAUCAAUGGAUCAAAGAAGAGCUUAGAACAAAAGUCCAAUGUUUGAGAAAGGGCUAGAAGAAGAAAAUCCAUAGAUUGAGGGUCAUCCAAGAAAAACUUUGAGGAAAGGAAAGAAAAUGCCCACCAAUUCUAAGAGAGGCAAGACAGUUUUCAAUUGAGAAAAGACAAUAAAUGCCAAAAGUCAACACUAGAAAAAUCGAUGCUUCAUAUCUUUUGGUGUGUCUAGGAUAAAGCCUCUAAUGUCUUCAAAUUUUUUAGAUUGGUUAUUCAUCAAAGAAAAAGUUGGAUUACGACCUAUGUUAAGAGAAUUCUGAUAUCUAAAGAUUAACAAGGUUAUAUGUCACUUUCUCUACAAUGACAACAAGAGAAAGAGAAUCGAUGAAUAGUUAAUGUUGGUCCUAGGUCGUUGAAACCCUCAAACACCUUUUGAGCCUUGAAAUUCUUUUCUUUCAUAGCCAUGAACCAUAGCCUGCAUUACGUGCUUUUAAAAGCCCUUUUUAAUCAAGCAAGCAAUUUGAAUCGAUAAAUGGCGCUCUCAAAACUUGAAGAGUUUUUCCAUAAGGGUCGUGACUUCAUGAAUUAAGCUACUGGUUAUUAUGCAUGCUGAUAAAAUAAAUGCUAAGAAAAGAAACAACCUUUCUUGAUAAAGCCUGAGCAUCUUGUUUUUGAAAUUCAUAAAAAUGUCACCUCAUCACAGACCAUCAAAAGAUAUACCCAAAAUCAGAGUUUAAAGUGGACACAAAGAACCAUGAAAAAGUCAUUUUAAAUCUUACAACGGGUCAUUUCUGUUUUCAAAAUACAAGACAAUCAAAGGACUGCAUUGAAUAGUGUGUUGGGUCUUUGACCAAAGAAGUUUGAAUUUCAAAAGAAAAAAUAAUAACUUCAAAAACAGACAUCUCUCUGAUUUCAUUUCAACAUUUAGACUUGAAUAGACAUGAUCGUUGAAAUGUGAGAUUUGAUUCCAGAACAAGAAAGAUUUUCAAACAAGAACAUCAUUGAGUUUGCAAAAUCCUCGACAAAAAUGACAUCAACAUUUCUCGACACUCCUUGAAACGUUGACCACCUGGGGGCAAUACAGUGGGCCCUUAGAAGAAAAGCAAACAAUAUCCAGAUCAGCUGGGGGCAAAGAAAGAAUCACAUGAUGAGUCAUCAAAGCCACCAAAGUCACUCCUGGCAUUCACAAAAGCCAUUGUAUAACAGAAGAAUGAGCAUUCAGAUCGAUUAGGGGCAAUGUUGUUCAAAGACAAUCCAUGAUUAGUGCACUUCAGCAGCAAUUGAUGAGCAACGCUGCACUUGAAGGAUAUCUUCAUAUCUUCAUUUUGGGUUACCUUGUAAAACAUGGCUAUGACUCCUGACAGAUGUUAUCGGGUGAGUGCAUUUGAAUGAACAUCGAACAUAUGCAUACCACUAAGAUUGACUAUGGGACCAUCUAUUCUGAAGCUCAAAUGCGCACUUCACCGCAUGAAUAUGGGUGAUAACAUGAACAUCAUUGAUGAUGCCAAAGCAGUUAUUUUCACGAUCUGAUUUGACAAGCUAAGAGGAAUCUAUAGAGAAAUACAUCGCGCUUACAAUGAUGAGUUGUUUACUGCAAAUAAUGAGAUGCAUGUCUGGAUGACUUGGCAGUUCCAUGAAGGCUGGUGACCAUACAUACUUAAAUGGUGUUUCAACCGAAGGCAAGUUCAUGACUGAUUAACAAACUUGAUGGGUGUUGGCAUGAUGCAUACAAUCAAUCAAAGGAUAAUUCUCAGAAGAAUCCAAGAGAGAAAAUUCUUCAUGAUGAAUCAAGCAACACCACACUUGGGGGCAUUAUCAAGCUUGAUGAGCGAUGCGAGCAGUAAUUGUCGAAGACAGCCCGGGAUGGGCACUGCAUUUACAGCUGAGUCGAUGACUAGCACAUGAAUGAGCCAAUGCAUCGAAAGAACAAAGAAAGCUUUGGGAUGCAGACAAGGGCACCCUAUGACGAUGGAGCAUCAAAGAGGGGGGGACCUAUAUUUCAAAUCAGGUAAGGAUGCAUGCAUAUCAUCUAAAAAAAAAAAACCAUUUGCACAUAUUUUUGAAUUGUUACAGGAAAAUCCCUAGUGAGGUCCAGCAAGAUGUUGGAAAAAAAGAGAAGCAUUGUGGUGAUGAUAAUAAAGAAUCGGUUUUGAUCAUGGAAUAAAAGGACGAUGGGAUGAACCCUACCAUUAGGAAAAUCCCAAAGAAAUGAAUAGAUCAACCUUGCAACCGGGAAGCCUCGAGUUUUCAACCCUUGCAGCCAGGAAACACCGAGUUUUCAAACCCUAUGAUCGGGAAUUAUCAUAUCACAUUUUUUUUCCAUCUGGGUAGGUCGCCCAUCAUAAUAAGACCGUUCAUCAUAUUUUUUUUUCAUCUGGGUAGGUCACCCAUUACAAUGAGACCACACUUCACAUUCUUUCUAUUUGGGUAGGUCGCCCAUCACAACGAGACCACUUCAUCAUAUUUUUUCCAUUUGGGUAGGUCACCCAUUACAAUGAGACCACACUUCAUAUUUUUUCCAUUUUUGGGUAGGUCACCCAUUACAAUGAGACCGCACUUCACAUUCUUUCUAUUUGGGUAGGUCGCCCAUCACAACGAGACCACUUCAUCAUAUUUUUUCCAUCUGGGUAGGUCACCCAUUACAAUGAGACCACACUUCCUUUUUUCCAUUUGGGUAGGUCACCCAUCACAAUGAGACCACCAUUUUUUCUGGGUAGGUCACCCAAAGAAUGAGACCAUUCUCCAUCUUUUUUUUUACCUGGAUAGGUCACCCAUAAGAAUGAGGCCAUUCCUACCCCUGGGUAGGUCACCCAAAGAAUGAGACCACUCUUCCUUUUUCCACUUGGGUAGGUCACCCAUCACAAUGAGACCACCAUUUUUUUUUUCUGGGUAGGUCACCCAUUAGAAUGAGACCAUUCUCCAUUUUUUUUACCUGGGUAGGUCACCCAUAAGAAUGAGGCCAUUCUUCCCCCUGGGUAGGUCACCCAAAGAAUGAGACCACUCUUCCUCCUUUCCAUCUGGGUAGGUCACCCAUUAUAAUGAGACCACUUUUUACACAUUCUUUUGUUCCAGUUGAAUGAGGUCGCCAGAUGGGAUCUCAUGUAGCUUUGGUUAAAGGGAAUCUCCAUAUGGGAUUUCAGGUUGACCGAGUUACACACAUUCUUUGGUUUUGGUUAAAGGAGGUCGCCAGAUGGGAUCUCAGGAUAAUAAAAAAGAAAAAAAAGAAAAAAAACGUUUUUUUUAAACAGAAAGACAAGUUUUUCUUUACAAAGCUUACUAUGCAAAACAUUGAGGAUUUUUGCUUCGUAAGCAUUGUAAAGAGGGGGCAUCUGUUGCUACCCAAUUUUUGACCCAUGUUUUUGAUAUAUUUUAAAAAAAUCCAAAAAUAGAGAAAAACAAAGAAAAUCCAAAAAAAUAUGUUUUUAAUAUAUUUUCGUCAUUUUAGCAUUUUCAACGUCGUUUAAAAAAUUUUAAAAAAUUUUUAAGGGUCUUUCGAAUGCGUUCGACUUUUCACGCGUCAUUUUCAAAAUAAUUGAUUUUCCGUAUUUGAGUCGACGUUGAUAUUGCUCGUUUUCAAAAAAAUACAAAAAAAACAAGAAAAAUCAAAUUUUACAAAAAAAAAGAAAAUUAAGGGACCAAUUUUGAGGCCGAAACAAUAUUUUUGCCUAAGGGAAUUUUGAAUUUUGGAAGGAGGGGAACCUAAGAAUUUUUUUUUUUUUCUCUUCACCCGAAACUAGCCGUUCCCCCUGGCCCAGGACCAUUAUUUAACCCCUCUCUUUUGGCUGAAAAUUAGCAGCUCAACCCCACCCAUGGUCCUCUUUUCUUUGUUUCCCGCCGACAAUGGUGGCCCUCUUCAUGAUGAAAGCUUCUAUUUCUUCUCAUCCCCAGCUUUGUAAAAGGAGAGAUAUUGGAGCCAGUUUUUUCGAAGAUCCAGCAGGAGGGGGGAGACACCCACAAGCCCCAAUCCCUUUGGGAUUUUUCAUCUCCCUCUCAUCAACACCAAGAGAAGCCAAGACAGCCCCCCCCACCUUCUGAGUUUUCUUCUUCUUCAGCCACCUGCACAGUAACUCUCCUCCCGAACACAGCAGCCCCCCAUCUACCCAGCAGCUCCCUUUUUUUUUUUUUUUUUUUCUUUUCUUUCUUCUCCUGAAGCCAAAACGAAGCCGUCCCUCCUUUUCUUCUCAUUUUUUUUCUUCCCGGCCGCUGCAACCACAGCCCUCCCGAUCUCCUUUCCCCUUCACUUUUCCUUCCUCUCGCCAGC